GAUGAACGCUGCCAGAAUGCUUAACACAUGCAAGUCAACUUGAACUUCGGUUUGGGUGGCGGACGGGUGAGUAACGCGUAAAGAACUUGCCUCACAGUUAGGGACAACAUUUGGAAACGAAUGCUAAUACCUGAUAUUAUGAUUUUAGGGCAUCCUAGAAUUAUGAAAGCUAUAUGCGCUGUGAGAGAGCUUUGCGUCCCAUUAGCUAGUUGGAGAGGUAACGGCUCACCAAGGCGAUGAUGGGUAGCCGGCCUGAGAGGGUGAACGGCCACAAGGGGACUGAGACACGGCCCUUACUCCUACGGGAGGCAGCAGUGGGGAAUAUUGGACAAGGGACCAAGAGUCUGAUCCAGCAAUUCUGUGUGCACGAUGAAGUUUUUCGGAAUGUAAAGUGCUUUCAGUUGGGAAGAAAAAAAUGACGAUACCAACAGAAGAAGUGACGGCUAAAUACGUG
rnacentral:rRNA from 1 species